rnacentral:rRNA from 1 species
UACGUAGGGUGCAAGCGUUAAUCGGAAUUACUGGGCGUAAAGCGUGCGCAGGCGGUUUUGUAAGUCUGACGUGAAAUCCCCGGGCUCAACCUGGGAAUUGCGUUGGAGACUGCAAGGCUGGAGUCUGGCAGAGGGGGGUAGAAUUCCACGUGUAGCAGUGAAAUGCGUAGAGAUGUGGAGGAACACCGAUGGCGAAGGCAGCCCCCUGGGUCAAGACUGACGCCCAUGCACGAAAGCGUGGGGAGCAAACAGG